GACGAACGCUGGCGGCGUGCUUAACACAUGCAAGCCGAGCGGUAAGGCCCUUUCGGGGGUACACGAGCGGCGAACGGGUGAGUAACACGUGGGUGACCUGCCCUCAGCUCUGGGAUAAGCCUGGGAAACCGGGUCUAAUACUGGAUAUGACUCCAUGACGCAUGUUGUGGGGUGGAAAGCCUUGUGCGGCUGAGGAUGGGCCCGCGGCCUAUCAGCUUGUUGGUGGGGUNANGGCCUACCAAGGCGACGACGGGUAGCCGGCCUGAGAGGGCGACCGGCCACACUGGGACUGAGACACGGCCCAGACUCCUACGGGAGGCAGCAGUGGGGGAAUCUUGCGCAAGUGGG
rnacentral:rRNA from 1 species